rnacentral:rRNA from 1 species
UUCGUAGGUGGCCAACUAAGUCAGACGUGAAAUCCCUCAGCUUAACUGGGGAACUGCGUCUGAUACUGGUUGGCUUGAGUGCAGGAGAGGAGCGCGGAAUUCCAGGUGUAGCGGUGAAAUGCGUAGAUAUCUGGAGGAACACCGGUGGCGAAGGCGGCGUUCUGGACUGCAACUGACACUGAGGAACGAAAGCCAGGGAGCAAACG